CAAAAUAUUUCCACAGAAUAAUAAAAAUAACAUUAUUCUAAUUUCAACUCCAUACAACUAACAUUCACAAUUUUAUUCAACAGCACACUUUAUGCAUCUCUUGUUUGUGUGUGUAUGUGUGCGACACAGAUUCAAAUUUGCCGCCAAUUCCCGCCCACAACGUCGAAUGUGUCGUAGGUCGUAACAGUCGAAUGAGCAGCAAUGAUUUGGUCACGUGUUUUAGAAGUUUGAAUUCACAAACGGAUGUCAUGCGACUCCUCAACGGGUUUGCGCGGAUAUCUUCGAUUCACUGCUUUAGGUGAGCCAUCCUCGGAUAUCAUGGAGCUGCAUUUGCAUUUUGGAAUAAGGAAUAUGUUUUCUCCUGCGUUUCGAACGAAGGACAGACAGUGAGAGAGAAGCCGUUGAUCCACUGAUGAUGUUGGUCUGUUUACAGAUUAUAGAAAAACCUGUGCUUGUGGAUCUACAUCGGAUGACCAUGGCAACCCAGGUGUGGAAAUAUUAGACUGUUUUUAAUCUGAAAUCUGUGUAAUCUAAGAUGGACAAUUCUUCUGACACCAUAUGAAUGCAUACUGUCGUCUGGCAGAAGCUAGAUCAUUUAGAUUAUAAAGUUAUAUGUUUUUACACAUGCAUCUAUUUGCUUCAGAAGGCCUUUAUUAAAGGAUUAG